rnacentral:tRNA from 1 species
GCCAGUGUAGCUCAGUGGUUGAGCACCGACCUAUGAACUAGGAGGUCAUGGUUCAAUUCCAGGUCAGGGCA